rnacentral:rRNA from 1 species
GUAAUACUUAGGAAUCUACCUAGUAGUGGGGGAUAGCUCGGGGAAACUCGAAUUAAUACCGCAUACGACCUACGGGAGAAAGGGGGCAACUUGUUGCUCUCGCUAUUAGAUGAGCCUAAGUCGGAUUAGCUAGAUGGUGGGGUAAAGGCCUACCAUGGCGACGAUCUGUAGCUGGUCUGAGAGGAUGAUCAGCCACACCGGGACUGAGACACGGCCCGGACUCCUACGGGAGGCAGCAGUGGGGAAUAUUGGACAAUGGGGGAAACCCUGAUCCAGCCAUGCCGCGUGUGUGAAGAAGGCCUUUUGGUUGUAAAGCACUUUAAGCAGUGAAGAAGACUCUUCGGUUAAUACCCGGAGACGAUGACAUUAGCUGCAGAAUAAGCACCGGCUAACUCUGUGCCAGCAGCCGCGGUAAUACAGAGGGUGCAAGCGUUAAUCGGAAUUACUGGGCGUAAAGCGAGCGUAGGUGGCUUGAUAAGUCAGAUGUGAAAUCCCCGGGCUUAACCUGGGAACUGCAUCUGAUACUGUCAGGCUAGAGUAGGUGAGAGGAAGGUAGAAUUCCAGGUGUAGCGGUGAAAUGCGUAGAGAUCUGGAGGAAUACCGAUGGCGAAGGCAGCCUUCUGGCAUCAUACUGACACUGAGGCU